AAACAAUUUCCUUAGGCAAGCAUUUCCGGUGAUAGGAUGUUGGACACCGUCUACACAUGGCAAACUGUAGCUCAGGUUUAUCUUUAUCUUCUCUUUGUUUACAGACGCAACAAUGAUGCAGAGGACAAGCAAAAGAUUCACCAGCAGCAAUCUUCUUUUUAAGUUCAUCAACCUUGGACUGAGCAUCAGGAUGAAGCAGCCUGGCAACACAAUGUGGAUGGUAAAAAUGGCCGCAAGUCGCAUUAACGCAACGGAAGACCUCCGCAUUAGAUGAUUGAUCAGAAGAUCCCAACUUCCCACAAGCAUAGCACUGGUGCUGCUGAUAUUCACAAUUCUUACAAUAGAAAUCUUGAUAUUUCAUUGCCUUGACAUGAGCUUUUGUAAAACCAAGAGAUUUACACUGAGAUUCAG
rnacentral:misc_RNA from 1 species